rnacentral:rRNA from 2 species
AGAGUUUGAUCCUGGCUCAGGAUGAACGCUAGCGGCAGGCUUAACACAUGCAAGUCGAGGGGCAGCAUAAUGGAUAGCAAUAUCUAUGGUGGCGACCGGCGCACGGGUGCGUAACGCGUAUGCAACCUACCUUUAACAGGGGCAUAACACUGAGAAAUUGGUACUAAUUCCCCAUAACAUUCGAGAAGGCAUCUUCUUGGGUUAAAAACUCCGGUGGUUAAAGAUGGGCAUGCGUUGUAUUAGCUAGUUGGUGAGGUAACGGCUCACCAAGGCAACGAUACAUAGGGGGACUGAGAGGUUAACCCCCCACAUUGGUACUGAGACACGGACCAAACUCCUACGGGAGGCAGCAGUGAGGAAUAUUGGUCAAUGGACGCAAGUCUGAACCAGCCAUGCCGCGUGCAGGAUGACGGCUCUAUGAGUUGUAAACUGCUUUUGUACGAGGGUAAACGCAGAUACGUGUAUCUGUCUGAAAGUAUCGUACGAAUAAGGAUCGGCUAACUCCGUGCCAGCAGCCGCGGUAAUACGGAGGAUUCAAGCGUUAUCCGGAUUUAUUGGGUUUAAAGGGUGCGUAGGCGGUUUGAUAAGUUAGAGGUGAAAUUUCGGGGCUCAACCCUGAACGUGCCUCUAAUACUGUUGAGCUAGAGAGUAGUUGCGGUAGGCGGAAUGUAUGGUGUAGCGGUGAAAUGCUUAGAGAUCAUACAGAACACCGAUUGCGAAGGCAGCUUACCAAACUAUAUCUGACGUUGAGGCACGAAAGCGUGGGGAGCAAACAGGAUUAGAUACCCUGGUAGUCCACGCAGUAAACGAUGAUAACUCGUUGUCGGCGAUACACAGUCGGUGACUAAGCGAAAGCGAUAAGUUAUCCACCUGGGGAGUACGUUCGCAAGAAUGAAACUCAAAGGAAUUGACGGGGGCCCGCACAAGCGGAGGAACAUGUG